GUAGGUGGCAAGCGUUGUCCGGAAUUAUUGGGGCGUAAAGCGCGCGCAGGCGGUUCUUUAAGUCUGAUGUGAAAGCCCACGGGCUCAACCGUGGAGGGUCAUUGGAAACUGGAGAACUUGAGUACAGAAGAGGAAAGCGGAAUUCCACGUGUAGCGGUGAAAUGCGCAGAGAUGUGGAGGAACACCAGUGGCGAAGGCGGCUUUCUGGUCUGUAACUGACGCUGAGGCGCGAAAGCGUGGGGAGCAAACAGGAUUAGAUACCCUGGUAGUCCACGCCGUAAACGAUGAGUGCUAAGUGUUAGGGGGUUUCCGCCCCUUAGUGCUGCAGCUAACGCAUUAAGCACUCCGCCUGGGGAGUACGACCGCAAGGUUG
rnacentral:rRNA from 1 species